UAUUUCUCUUUGAUGCAGAUCGUGAAGGCACUGGGAGGACUGAUAUGAUUGUGGAGGUUAGGACUUUGUUGGAGGGAAGGAUCGAUGGUUUGAGAGUAUAUAACUUCGAGUUUUUGGUGAGGUUUUGGAUUUAGGAGGAUGCUUUUAUGGGAUCAUCAGUGAUUUGGCUUCUUCUCCGUGACGUCUUCAGCGCAUCGUCUCCUUCCAUUUCCUUGUCUGAAAACAAAACGGAACGGAGGACUCAGGAGUGAGGAGUGACGACUGAGGAGUGAUCUGAGCUUUCGGUAUUGAUAAGAGAACACAAUCGUCGCCAACGUGCUUGCUUAAGAUCAAGGAAGGUAGAGACCAAUGUACAACUAAUUCCAUUGAAUGACACCAUUCCAUUAGCCAACGUCCAACAACAAGAGGAAGAACAACUCCAGGGGUCUGAGACGAAGUCGAAUUGAUAAUGGUGCUGGUUUGAUUGUCUCACUAAUUGCAGGGAAACGAGUGUCACAAACAUAGCUGCUAGCUAGCUCUACCAAUCCAUGAGUGGGACCAUGAGCAACGUCUAAGAAGAAGAAGAAGAAGAACCCCUCAAGGAAGAUCAUCAUUCAAGACUAGAGACCAUGUUCAACUUCCAUGAAUGGGGCCAUGAGCAAACGUCCAAGAAGAAGAAGAACCCUCAAGGAUAAAGUGUCGUGUUAGAACCAGUAGCUACAACACAAAUCAAGCCUCAGGAAAUAACAAGUUAAUCCUACCGAAGCAAGCACAGAGAUCGCGGAGAUGCUUUCAAGAACUAAAACUGAUUCUAUUGGAUUGAUGGUGUUUGACCAAGUACAGGUUUACAGACCAUGGCAAGUUUCGUCAAGAACCACCCGUGGCCUAACGUUGAUGUUCAUAGCGGAGUCCUGCUGAACUAUUAUCGUCUAACCGAAAGUAAGAUUUAGAUACUACUACACCGUGCUUUUUGGUUGUCUCAAGGAAUCUCGUCAUGGUCACAGCUGAUAUGGGACUGCCGCUAGAGCGGCCAAAGAGUGUAAACAUGUCCUCCCAAAGGUGAAACUUUGCAACUUCGUGCGGCGCUUAAGCUCAGAGUGAGUCUGUCCCAGCUCUUGAAAAAUAUUGGCCUUGGGAGUUCUAGCCUAACAAAUUUGAGAGAUAAGAGACAGAGAGAGAUCGUUCUAAUGGCGACAAGAGAGCAACAUGAUGAUGGUUCGAAUCUACUACUCAACCGGUCCAUGAAUUGUGAGUCGAAUUUGCUUUCUAAACAAGUCAGAGAGAGGUGGGCGUUGAUUGAUUUAUUUGACUCUCUCUCUCUCUCUCGUUGAUGAUUCAGAACACAAUCGUCGCCAACGUGCUUGCUAAAGGUCAAGGAGAUCAUCAUUGAAGCAGGUAGAGAGCAUGUACAACGUAUUCCAUAAAUGACACCAUUCUAUGAGCCAACGUCCAAGAAGCAGAAGAAGAAGAACACCUCCAGAGACCUGAGACGAAUUGGAAUUGAUAAUGAUGCUGGUUGUUCCUGUUCUCGUAGUGUCACCACAUUCCUAAGGCUGACAUCCUUGUUCGUGGUUUUGCUGGUUUGCCUUGAAGGUCUUAGACCAAGUCUUCCCAAAGAUCAUGAGGAACCCGGGUUACUGUGUGGGAGGUUCGAAGAGAAAGAAAAAUCAUUGUGGGAGUGCUUUUGAUGUCUGAGUUCAACUUUCAGCCGAAGACCCUAUAUUUUAGUGGAGGAGGAUGUUUUGAUCGGCUGGUGAUGGUUUUGAUGGAUCGUUUUGUCUUCUCUGCGCUACAUCUUCAGGCUUUUGAUGAUGCUUUUAUUGAUGAGAGUGAUGGCUUUGAUGGACACGCUUCGUCUCUGUGCUACUUCUUCAAAGGGUGUUUUGGAAGCAGUUAUGAUAUGAUCAUGGCGUAUUCUUCUCCAUGCUGCCACGUCUUCAGCCACGUUCUCACAGGUUUAGAUUCGUGGAGCUUUGAUCGGUGAUGGCUUUGACUAAUCGUUGUCACUCUAAUUCAUGAUUGUGGAGGAAAGAGGAUGCUUUGAUCGGUUGGUGAUGGUUUUGAUGGAUCGUUUUUGUCUUCUUUGCGCUACAUCUUUCAGAUCAUAAGGCACCAGGUGGGAGGUUCGAAGAGAAAAAAAACACUUUGUGGGGAGUGAGUAUGAUCAGGUUUUGGAUGAUACUUUUAUUAAUGAGAGUGAUGGACACGCUUCUCCUCUGUGCUACGUCUUUAAGACUUUUGGAAGCAAACCAUGAUCCAAUCAUCACUCUCAUAGUCAUGUUGCUCUUCUAGAGUUUGGUUUCUAGAUUGAUUAUUCAAGGUGUUUUUAUUAUGUUCAUGCGACUUUUAACUCUACUUGGCUCUGUUAAUUUUAGAUUGUGGAGGAGGAUGCUUUGAUCGGUUGGUGGCAGUUUUGAUGGCUUGUAUUUGUCCUCUCUGCGUCGCCUACGUGCUUAAAAAGGGUAAAGUUGGUUCUUCUCAUUGAGGGAGACACUGGUUCGGGUAAGACUACACAGUUACCACAAUAUCUCCAAGGAGCUGGUUUGAAAGGAAAGAGCAAAGAGCAAGUUGAGGCGCUGUCAAAAAGAGUUGCCUCAUCGUGCGGCUGUGCCAGGAUGUACAAGGAUGGUAGCAUCAUUCCAUUAGAUGAUUCUUUGGGUUUUGCUGCAAAUUUUUCACACAUGCUGGGAUAUGGUAGUCCCCAGAUGAAAGAGCUCAUGAGGCUUUAUCUCACCAUGCCGUUGUGGAGAGAGAGAGAGAGAGAGAGAGAGAGAGAGAGAGAGAGAGAGAUGAAAUGGCUGAGGAUAGAGAGAUAUUAGAACCAGUAGCUACAACACAAAGCAAGCCGCAGGAAAUUUUAAGUUACUCUUAACGAAGCAAGCACAUGCAUUAAUUAGGGUUCCUGGAGCUUCGAACUCAAAGCCAUGGGUCCUUAUCUAUCUAUGGUCCAAUUUACUCGCUCAGAUUGAUAGAAUUGCUCGUGUUGCCUUCAAGACUGCUCGGAAACGGCGUGGCAAGCUGUGUUCUGCUGACAAAGCUAAUGUCUAUGGCCUCAAGUUUAUGGAAGAAACGAGUAAGAGAGCCUCUGAAUAUCAUGAUGUUGAGCUUUCAUAUAUGUAUGUUGACAAUGCUGCGAUGACCCGCCAACAGUUUGAGACCAUUUUUGUUGAUAUAUUAUCCGGUUAAGCUUCAACGAUCACAGGAAGCAUUGGAAUGCUGGCAUGCCGUCCAUUGCUCAAGUAUUUCUAAUUGGCCAGAUUCUUCUUGUCCAGUGUGUCGAUAUUGCCAACAGCGACCUGAAUGUUGUGUUCGCCAAACAACGGAAAACUUCUGGAUGUGUGUUAUAUAUGUCAAAUGAUUACUUACACAAUCUCAUCAAGCACCACUUGGGAGAUCUUUCCUACCGUUAAGUGUCUCAGAAGUUCGAAGACCCAGCAGAAGGGGAGGAUACACUGGUGUCAAAAAUUCAAGAAAUUAUACGACCAUCUCAGUACUGGAUUCCGUGCCUUGGUGGAUGG